UUGCUCCGUGAGCCUGUGCCAAGCUUUGGGUACGCCCGAACCAAAACGAGCUACGCCAACCACGGAGGAGAGGACAAAUGGUAUUGUCUUGGCUAAAUGCGAGAUCAAACUUAUUUAAGAAAAGAAAAUUGCAGAGCAUUCUUUGCGAACCAGUUGUUACAAAGUUAAUUUAUCAUACAAAUUUCUUAAUCAAUACCCUUCACUUUAGCUUCUCUCUCCAAAUUACUAUCUGGAGUGUAUAACUUUUCAUCAACUAGUUGUGACCAAUAUAUUUUGGGUAGUGCUAUCUACACAUCAAUUAACUUCUCACACCCACAUUGUUACCGUCAGUUGAUAUUUAUUCAAUUCAUUCAAUCAACAAUGAAUUGAAUAUAUAAAGAGGACGUAAAAUUAUAGAAAAACAUCAACAUUAUUAACAUGAAUAAAGGGCAUGGAAGGCAUAUAUAUAAAAUACUUGAUCAAUGGAUUCUUUGGUAGCGAUAUCUAGCUAGCUAGGGUUUUCAUUUUAGACAACAAAUUAGUAUAACGGUUUCUCAAUUAAUAUAAACAGAAAUUGGAUUGACAUAUUAUAUAUAUAUAUAUAUAUAUAUGUAAGAAUGUGAGUAUGAGAUAGAGGAGUUUUAGGACCGGCUAUAGGUGUUCAAUAAGAUAGAAAAGUCUUGUUAAUAAAAGGAAUGCUAAUCCCUUUUGUAGAGGGAUUCUGUACAGCAUGAAGAUCAGAACAAGGAAACAAGAAUUUGUUUCCUAUAUGGAUUUUGAUAGGGAAUCCUAAUCAGUUAUGGUAAAGAUUAUAUGUAUAUAUAUAGUGGCCUCUCUUCUCACAGGGACAUGCUCAUUAUUUUGGACUUAAUCCUAUUUAUAAGUCGAGCUCUUGAUAACCUGCGAGAGAAGAGAAGGUACACUGAAAGCUUGCUGCUAUGGCUUCGGGUUCUGCUACAAGUGCAGGUAUGUUCUUCUUGCUGUGUUUUUUCAUAUACAUAAAUUGAAUAUUUCUCUCUAAGUUGUAGUUCAUGUUUUGGUCUUGGUGAUUAUGAUUAAGGGUCUUACAUGUGGUAUCAGAGCCACAAGACAUAUCAACAUGAGUUCAAUUUGUAAAGAAGAAAUUUUGUAUGUUACUAUAAAAAAAUAAAAAAAUAAAAAAAUAAAAAAAAAUAAAAAAAAAAUAAAAAAAAUAAAAAAAUUUUCUUUUAUACUCUUAUGAAGAAUCGAAGUCUGGUUCUGGAGGAAAUAAAAGAAGCGGUAAUGUAAACCGUCAAAGGAACCCUUAGGUUAUUAUCGAGUGAAGGUUUUCCAGAUUUUAGAAAGCAAUGCUUUCUUCUAUAAACAUCGAUCUGGGUUUUUCCUUUCCAACCCUCAAAUCUUCUAUUAUUUUCAAAUUCUAAAUCGCUUCCGCUGCCCGAUUCGUGAAUUUGAGUUAUAAUGAUUAAAAGGUAUGUUGUUAAUUGCUUUGAAUCCUUUGGGCAAAUGUAUAGAUGAAUGUGUUUACUUUCCCGGUUCAUCGACUGCAAUAAUGAGUCGUAUGCAGAUGUAUUUUGAUCUUUUAAAAUACAAAUGCAGACCUUAAUUAACCAUUCGGUGCAUUCUUUGAUCACUUUCAAAAUGCUUUUUACAUGUAUGAGACACCAUUAAACCAUUUGGUGUCUAAGGAUAUAUGGCAGAAAUCAGCGGAUCGUUUUUCAAGUUCUUGCUUAAUCAUUCCACUCUAUGUAUGCUUAUCAACAGAUUGUUGAUUAAGACUAUAUAUAUGGGUUUGUGAUUAUAGUCAUGAUGUGCAAAGUGAUGUUGAGAUGAAAUCAGGAACUAAUAAGUUCAAAUUGUGAUUUCAUUGCAGGUUCAACAUCUGCAAUAUCGUUCCGGACUAUGAACUUGGCAAACAUUCCUGUUCUCACAGGGGGAAGCAACUACAAGAAGUGGAGACGUGAGAUUGGGCUCUUAUUGACACUCAAUGACAUUGACAUAGCCCUUGAAACUCCCAAGCCGAUUCUGACUGAUCAAAGUACAAGGGCUGAGAAAGCUGAUGCAGAGAGAUGGGUCAGAGCGAACAAAGUGGCACUUUCUAUACUUGAAAGUGCCAUGACUGAUACUGUUUGCGAUGGAAUCAAGAAGCAUGAACUAGCUAUUGAGUAUUUACAAGCAAUUGAAAGAAAGUUCAAAGAAUCUCAGAAGGCAGAAAUCAGUCACUAUAUGGCAAUGCUGACCACAUACAAGAUUGAUGGCAUAGGGUCAAUCAGAGACCAUAUCUUGAAAAUGACUGAUGCAGCUGAGAAAUUAAAUUCUUUAGAUGUUAAUAUUGGUGAAAAACAGUUAGUUUUCAUGAUCCUUCAAGCUCUUCCAAACAAAUAUAGUCAGUUAAAGGUGUCUUACAACACUCAAGACAAGAACUGGGAUGUUGAUGAGCUAAUAGCACAGUGCGUUCAAGAAGAGGCUAGACAAAAGCAAGAAAGAGGGAAAGAAACUGAAACGGUGAAUUUUGUGCAACCAGACAAGGGGAAGAAAUCAUUCAAGUCAUUCUCUGGAAACUCUGGUAAGAACAAUAAUACCAAGGUAACCUCUUUUAAGUCUACUGCAUCUGCCAAAGUAAAGGACUCUAUUAAGGGAUCUAGCAAUCUUAUGGUCAAAACUAAAAAUAUUGCCAAACUCAGAUGUUUUUUCUGCAAAACUAAAGGACACUUAAGAAAAGAUUGUCAAGUUUUUCAGGACUAUCUUAAAAGUAAGGGUGUAGAAAAUGUCAAUGUCUGUGUUGAGUCUAAUUUGAUUGAAAUCCCUGUGAAUUCUUGGUGGUUUGAUACCGGUUGCUCAGUUCACAUUUCAAAUUCUUUGGAGGGUUUUGUGAAAUCAAAACAAACUGGUUUUAAAAUUAUAAUGUCUUUGUGGGAGAAGGUACUAAAGUUACGGUAGAAGCUAUAGGUAUGGUGUGUUUAAAAUUGUCUUCUGGUUUUAUACUAAAACUAAAGGAUGUACUUUAUGUGCCUAAAAUGAGGAGAAAUCUGAUCUCUGCUUCAAGAAUUGUCAAAGACGGUUUUGCCUUUCUAGGUGAUGAUGAAAGUUUAAAAAUUUUUUAGAAGAACCACCUAGAUUGUGUUUUGGGAACUGCAUAUUUGAGUGACAAUCUGUGGUGUCUGAAUUGUACUUUGGAGUCCCUAAAUCAACAUGUUUUAAACACAAGCACUAAGAGGAUGCACUGCAGUGAUGAUUCUUUCCUCCUUUGGCACAAGAGGUUAGGUCACAUAUCCAAAGAAAGAGUUUUAAAACUGUCCAAAGCUCAGUUGAUCCCUGAAUUAAAUCUUGCUACUGCAAUUGAGUGUGUUGAUUGUGCAAAAGGGAAGAUGACUAAUUCUAGAAAGUUAGAUGCCAAAAGGAGCCAGAAUUUGCUAGAUAUCAUACACACUGACAUCUGCGGCCCUUUUCCAACCAAAACUAUUUGCGGUAAUUCUUAUUUUGUCAACUUUAUUGAUGAUUUCUCAAGGUUUUGUUACACUUAUUUAAUUAGUGAGAAAUCAUCGGUCCUUGAUUAUUUCAAAAUUUAUAAAACUGAGGUAGAAAAACAAUUAGGCAAGACCAUUAAGAUUGUUAGAUCGGAUAGAGGAGGAGAGUAUUUUGGCAGGUACAGUGAGACUGGACAACACAAGGGUCCGUUUGCGCUUUAUCUUGAACAACAAGGCAUUGUUGCUCAAUACACUACACCAGGAACACCACAGCAAAACGGAGUUUCAGAAAGGAGGAAUCAAACUUUGAUUGGAAUGGUACGAAGCAUGAUGACAAGAUCAAAGUUACCAGGAUUCCUAUGGGGUGAAGCAUUGAAGACAACCACUUAUAUACUGAACAGAGUUCCGAGCAAAGCGGUUUCAUCAACACCUUUUGAAAUCUGGAAUGGCAGGAAGCCCAGUUUUAGUCAUUUCCAUGUUUAGGGAUGUAAAGCUGAGGCUAGAAUUUACAAUCCAAAUGAGAAGAAAUUGGACUCAAGGACAGAAUCAUGUUAUUUCAUUGGCUACUCAAAGAAAUCUAAAGGCUUCAAGUUUUAUUGUCCUCAAGCUCACACCAGGAUUCAUGAAACUCACAAUGCUAGGUUCUUUGAAGAUCAAGAUAUUGCAGACUUAUCGCAGGGCAGGUUCAUUUUUUAAGAAAUUGAUCAAAAUGAGAAGUCCUUUUACAGUAAUUCUUACAAAGAAAUGUUGAUCACUCCCGCUUCCAUGAUUGAAUUGGAGGAAGAACAAUUAGACUGUCCAGAAAAUAUUGACAGAAUGGAAAUUGAUCUUGGGUCCCAACCACAGCAACAAGGGGAUCCAACUCCAACUAAUGAUGCACCAAUGAAUCCGAGCACUGAAGUUCUCCAUGAUCCGACAUUACCAUUGAGACAAUCUUCAAGAAUCAGAAAAACCACAAUGUCAAAUGACUAUGUUUAUUUGCAGGAGCAUGAGUUUGAUUUUGGUGAUGUGGAUGACCCUCUCACUUAUUCUCAGGCCAUGAAUAGUUCUCAACAAUCCUUAUGGCACAGUGCAAUGAAGGAGGAAUUGGAGUCGAUGUCCAAAAACGAAGUAUGGACAUUAGUGGAUUCCAAUCCUCAAUUCAAGGCUAUUGGGUGUAAAUGGGUUUACAAGACCAAAAGAGAUGCUCACGGCAAUAUUGAAAGGUACAAGGCAAGGUUAGUUGCCAAGGGAUUCACUCAGAGGGAAGGGGUGGAUUACAAUGACACAUUUUCUCCCGUCUCUUCCAAAGAUUCUAUUAGGGUCAUAAUGGCACUUGUUGCUCAUUACAAUCUGGAACUGCAUCAAAUGGAUGUUAAAACUGCCUUUCUUAAUGGUGAACUGGCCGAAGACAUUUAUAUGAAGCAGCCUCCUGGAUUUGUUGAAAAGGGGAAAGAAGACAUGGUUUGUAAACUUAACAAGUCAAUCUACGGGCUUAAACAGGCAUCAAGACUGUUCUUAAAGUUUGAUCAAGUAGUUACGAGACAAGGUUUUGUGGAAAACAAAUUAGAUGAUUGCAUCUAUGUUAAGUUUUCAGGCACUAAUUUUAUAUUUUUAGUGUUGUAUGUCGAUGACAUCCUCCUUGCCAGUUCUAACAUGAAGCUGCUCAAAGACACUAAGACCAUGCUCAGUAAGAAUUUUGAAAUGAAGGACCUUGGUGAAGCACACUAUGUACUUGGUAUUGAAAUUGUUCGAGAUAGAUCAAGAAAUUUACUCGAUUUAUCACAAAAGGGAUACAUAGAAAGGGUACUCAUGAGGUUCAAUAUGUCAAGCUGCAGUAAUGGUGAAGUGCCAGUAAACAAGGGAGACAGAUUCUCAAAGGCUCAAUGUCCCAAGAUGCCUAUGGAGAUAGAUAAAAUGAAAAAUAAGCCUUAUGCUUCAUUGGUGGGAAGUUUGAUGUAUACAACUAUCUGCACUAGACCGGACAUUGCUUUUAUAGUUGGAAUGUUGGGCAGGUUUCAAGCAAAUCCAGGAGAGACACAUUGGGUAGCAGCAAAGAAAGUUUUGAGGUACUUGCAAAGAACCAAGAACUAUAUGUUGGUUUAUGGCAGGAAUGAGCUAUUGGAGUUAGUUGGCUACACUGAUUCUGAUUUAGCCGGUGAUGUAGAUGAUAGAAAAUCUAUUGGAGGUUAUAUCUUUAUGCUAAGUGGUGGUGCAGUCUCUUGGAAAAGUGCAAAACAGACUAUCAUCGCAACAUCGACAAUGGAGGCAGAAUUUAUAGCUUGUUUUGAAGGAAUGAAACAAGCUGUAUGGUUGAAAAACUUUGUGACAGAUUUGAAAAUUGUAAAUUUUGUGCAAAGGCCUAUCAUAAUGUAUUGUGAUAACAAUUCUGCAGUAUUUUUUAGCAAGAACAAUAAGAGAACUUCAGCUUCAAGACUGAUGGAUGUAAAAUUCCUCAAGGUCCGAGAAAAGGUUAGAGAAGGAGCAAUUCAGGUGGAGCACUUAAGCACAAAUGCAAUGAUUGCGGAUCCUUUGACUAAGGCAUUGUCGAUUGGUGUAUUUAAAACGCAUGUCUCUCGGAUGGGAAUACUUGAAUCAUUUGAUCAGUAGGAGUGAUUUGUUAGUCUUAUUAUGACUGUUUAUUUGCCGCUGUGAAGUUCAGAGAGCUGGUGCGGUAAUAUAGACAGGUUUCAAAUUCCAAAUUUUAAAAGCUUAUGGCUGGAUAUUGAGAGUAUUAGGUUUGUUAGUUUUGUUUUGUUUAUUUUAUCGAAUUGAGAUCAGUUAUGAUGAUCUAUUGCUUCGACCAAAAUAAAGUUUGAUAUAAUUCAUUUGUUGCUUUUAUAAUGGUUUAUCUGUUUAAAGCAUUUAGUGAUGAAUUGUUGAUUCAUGCAUUGUUUUGAAGCAAAGAUUUGUUUUUCAUCUUGCUGACAAUGGUUUAAAAUAGUGGGAGCAAAUUAUUUUGCUGAUAUUGAUCCAGUUCACAACGUUGAGCAUACAAAUUGAUUGUCUGUGACUCUUGAAAAACUGUUUGCUUUAUUGUGGUAAUACAGUUACAAGCGUUCUGCAUUUUGAGAUGUAUGAUAGCUGGUUGUGAUUGAAAUUUUAUUAACAAGAUUAGUGAUCACUUCUAUCUGAACAUAAUUGACUUGGCCGAGUACUUAAACUGUUCUUAUACUCAAGUGGGAGAAUGUAAGAAUGUGAAUAUAAGAUAGAGGAAUUUUAGGACCGGCUAUAGGUGUUCAAUAAGAUAGAAAAGUCUUGUUAAUAAAAGGAAUGCUAAUCCCUUUUGUAGAGGGAUUCUGUACAGCAUGAAGAUCAGAACAAGGAAACAAGAAUUUGUUUCCUAUAUGGAUUUUGAUAGGGAAUCCUAAUCAGUUAUGGUAAAGAUUAUAUGUAUAUAUAUAGUGGCCUCUCUUCUCACAGGGACAUGCUCAUUAUUUUGGACUUAAUCCUAUUUAUAAGUCGAGCUCUUGAUAACCUGCGAGAGAAGAGAAGGUACACUGAAAGCUUGCUGCUAUGGCUUCGGAUUCUGCUACAAGUGCAGGUAUGUUCUUCUUGCUGUGUUUUCUCAUAUACAUAAAUUGAAUAUUUCUCUCUAAGUUGUAGUUCAUGUUUUGGUCUUGGUGAUUAUGAUUAAGGGUCUUACAAUAUAUAUAGUGGUAUUGGUACAAGUAUACUACUACUGAAUAUAGGAUUGACCAGUGAUAUCAAGGUCUCGGUCGCCGGUGGAAGGUGGGGGUGUGUGCUUGGGGGGUUGAGUGGUGGCUUCAGCUGGUCCGUCGGCACUCUGGCUGUCACUGGCCCGUGGUUUUGCUUUUUCUUUUGCAGGCUGAUCUGGCUCUCUACCGUACAUUCCACCGCCAUAGGCUUCAUAUGUUAAUGGCUUCAUCCUUGAUAUUUCACUAUGACUACCACCACCUCCAUCCUCCUCCUUCUUCUGCUUAACCUCCUCCCGUCUCUGCUUCUCCCUUUCCUUUUCCAUUUUCUGAUGAUCCAUUGAUUCCCUAUUUAGUAAUAGAUAAUCUAUUCGUGGUCGUACUUUUACUAGCUAGUUAUAUACAUAAUUCCAACUGCCACCGAUCAAUAUAUGUAUGACACGCGUCUUGUUUUAUGGUGAAGUGGCGAAACCCCUAACUGCCUUCUGUCAUCCAUGCAUGAGCAACUACAUCCUCAUGCAUGUACAAGCACACCUCUAUAGUAGUCCAUAUCCACCUGACUUCGUACUUUACUCGAAAUCAAUCUCUCUCACUCUCUAACUAAUUUUCUGGAGAAAAAUUUGUAUAACAUGAUUUACAGUGUCACAGUUAUAUAAUCCAGUACAAAUAAUGAAAUUAUGUGUUAAACUUCUUUACUUAUCUUUGUGCUAUUCAUACAAAACAGUACCAUUACGCUUAAUUUUAGACUAUCACUUCGAAAUGAUCUAGUAUUGUGGUACCGCACAUACAUUUUAUAUGUGUUCAUUACUUCGACAUAACUUAGUGUUGUGCUACUACGCAUGCGUUUUAUACAUGUUCAUUAACUUGUCCCACUUGAUUAUUUGUUUUUGCUCAUCUUUUGUUCCCCCAAAUAAUUUUUCAAGAAAAGUUGGACACUCACUGAUUAGUUUAUAGACUGCACAAUGAUAUUCAUAUUGGUGGUAAUGGUAUAUGUAUCAUUCUUCUCAAUUAAUUUGUGCGACUUGAUUAUUUGUUUUUGCUUAUCUUUUGUUCCCCCAAUAAUAUAAUAGAUAUAGUUAUAUACCUUGAAAAGUUGUUCACUAAUCAUAAUAGAUUGCAGAAUGAUAAUAGUGGUAGUCCUGCAUAUAUAUUUUAUGUCCACCGCACAUAAAUAUAUAUAUAUAUAUAUAUAUAUAUAUAAUGUGUAAAAACCCAUAUCCAGCAACCACUAUAUUCCAACGUAACUACUUUUGAUUCUUGUUCAUGAGUCAAGUACAUUUUAAGUUUUUCAUCUUACAUACGGUUUUAUUAAAAACAUGAUUGUUUUAGAGAUUAAAAUGAAGUUUUCUAAUAAUCAAUUAAGUACUUGUCAUGAAAACCCACUACUACGAGUUAGUAAUAAUAUUGGAGUCGAGAGCUUGUGAAACUUGAGAAAGAAAGGAGAUGAAGAACUCAAAAAGGAGAUGAAGAAGUCAAAGUAACAUUGAAGAAGAUGAGGGAAUUGGAGGCGUCCAUCGCUGGGACUGAAACUUUGCUCCGACAAAGAGUUUGAUCAACGCUAGGGUUUCACUGCUCAACACUCUCACCCUAGUCUAAAUUAAUAUUUGCCAUGUGUACUUUUAGUUUUUAAUUUCUAUACAAAUUCCCAUUUAUUAAAUUUGUCUCCGUCGUCGAAUUAAUAGAAGAAUUGUGUGCAAUAGCAUAAAGCUUUGGGGUUGAUAUUGCAGCCGAUGAAUAUUAACAAGUAAAUGUACUUGAUUAUGUAAGAACUCUAACACAGAUCGAUGAUAUGCCAAUUGAAUUACCAAUGUUCUGAAACAAGUCAAGUGACAAAACUUAUGAACAAGAACAAGGAUUGCCGAGAACAUACCUGCAGAAUUUGAACUUGAAGAAGCCAUAACAGCCUCUGUGUUCAAAACCUUCUCCUCUUUUACGAUCACAAUAGCUUUUCUAAUCAAUAGGACUUAGAACAACAUAAGCUAAUAUCGCAAGAGCAGUGGUUUGAACCAUAAAUAUAUAGUGCUCCUUCGUCCAUUCCCUAUCAGAAUUGGACUAGGAUUCAAAGACAUACAAACCAUAAAGAUUCAUGAGACUUUAUAAAGUUCCAACACAAAGUUCUUUUCCAAAACCAAUUGGAACUUCUCUCAAGACUGCAUUCCUUAUCAGAUUUAGACUUCUUUAUAAUAUCAAUUAUCCCAAGACUUAUAAGAAUCAUACUCAUACUCUUACAUUCUCUCACUUGAGUAUGAUUCAUCACAACAGAUAAUCAUCUCAAAUUAUAAAGGUGAUCAGAUAAGUCAUUCACCAUCACACUAGUACAUAGACACAACCUGCUUACAUAAACCAAAACAAUGAAUUUAUAAUUGCCUCUGCAACACAAAAUACAGAUUUAACUUACAAAUCACAAUGUCCAGUUUAUGUUCAUAGCAAUGUAUCUAAGAUCAAAUUUAUAUAAAAAUUACCAAAUGUUUUGGAUAACAAAAGCUUAUCCUCACAUACAACUUACCUAUGCAUUUUAAAGUAUUGAACUUAAGAAUCUUUUCUGUUACAUCGCAGAAUUAACUCAAAAGUCACAACAUACUUAAUUUGCACAUUGUAAUUAUGUGAACCAAAAUAGCAAAACCAAACCAAUUUGCUCCCACUUAUCUAGGCCAUACUUAACACAAACAAGUUAAGUAUAAGUUAAUAUCAACUGUAUUAACUAACAGUCAUUGCAAUACACUGAAUGUCUUAUUAAUGUGAUCAAUUGCCGCAACCAAUACGCAAACAAAUUCCAUGAUCACAUUCAUCCAAUUCGUAUUUACAACAAUGUGAUUUUACUUGACCAGAGCAAACACAUAAAUUGAUUUGCUCCCACUAUAUCAAGUUAAGUUUAGUUCCAGCAAAUAGCACUAAACUUCUCAUUACUUAAACAAAUUAAGUAACAUAAAUAAUUACCAAUUGCUUCAAUAAAACCAUAAUCUGGUUUUCAAGCAUCCAUAUGAAUUAUAAUGGCUGGCUUAAAUACUCCUAGCCUUAUGCUUACAUUCGAACAUACGAUUCUCCCACUUAAGCAUAAGGAGAAUAUACUGCACAGUCAAUAAAGAAAUCGGAGAUAUGAACCAAUUGGUUCCCGAUUCCUUACCUAUUGCAUAAUCUCAGUUUAGUUAUAUACACCUAAACCAUUAUACAAAACAGUCUAUGUAUCAAAAGAUAGUCACAAUCCAUUCGGAAAAACUUAUCUCACAUAAACUCAAAAUCACCAGUUUCAACAAUGAUCAAAAUCAGAAUAGCAAGCACAAUAUUUUUGCAUUCAAUUUGAUCUUAACUAGUUCAAUAUCCAUCGAGCAAGAUCAACCAAAAUUUGAUAAUGUUUGGAUAUAUAUGACAACAAUAUAUCUUGAUUAAAACGAGAUAAUCAAGACUACUAUUUCUUCUGGAGAACUCGAAGUUCAUCUUUCUCCCUAUUUGUGAUUUCAACCAAAAUAUAAUAGCGGAAGCAGCAUGCAUCAUGAAAUCACAAAUAUACAUAUACAAUAAGCAUGCAUCGAUAUAUAUACAUGAUAAGAUUAGUCGACAAUAAUCCAGAUUAAAAAUCUUCAUGCCUUUAAUUCAUUGUCAACACCAUCAUCAAUUAUAUACAGAUUCGUAAGCAAGUCCUUGGAGAAAAUAAUGAUAACUGCAUAUCAUUAGUCUUAUGAAUUUCCAAUAAGAUGACAAAUAAUUAUUUGUUUUUCCGAUUCAUAAUAGAAUAUAUAUUUUGUAAAUGGCUAAAAGUUUAUUGUCACAAGACUCAUUAUAGGCGGUCAAUAAAACAUCUACCUUAUAUAUUCAUUUGUUCAUAUAUUUUCUUGUAUGCUUGCAUCAAUAUUCAGAGAAACUUAUGCAAGUUCUAUUUGAUAUAGAUAAAGCCGCAUGCCCAUAAUUACAACAUCUAUGCACGAAUGCUAUCUAGAUAGAUAUGAAUACAAAUUUAAUUCAUAUAUGCGAUUUAUGUAUAAGUCACAAAGCAAUUGGCAUCCAUUUAUAUAUGCAUUCCAUGUUGUUUGCUUUAUAUUGCUUGCCGACUUGCACAUGAUAUGCAGUCAAAUCCAUUCCAACCCAAACUUGAUAUAAAUCAAACCAAUUGAAAAUCAGGAAUUGACAAUAAGAUGUGCACUUGUGCUGCUCCCCGCAAUUAAAUGUAUCGAGAUUCAUACAUGAAACAAUGCAUAUACACAGACUCUUUAAUGAAAAAUGGAAAAGUAUAUCUAGACAAAUUUGUUUAUGCAGCAAAGUAUGAUUCCAGACAUCUCACAUAAAUCACAAGUUGGCAUCUAUAGGGAUUUCGAGUUUAAUCAUGCCUUUACAAUUUAUAUAAAUAAACAAGCAUACUCGAAAUAGCAAAAGACCUAAUUCAUUAUGCUCCAACUCAUCACACUAUAAUCAUGCAUAUAGGAGAACAAUUAAUCACGCAUGAAACAGUGAAGUGAGUUACCUGAAUGCAUCAUUGGACUCGUAUUCGUCAACCAAUUGCAAUUCCUCGACUCCAAAUUAACGAAAUUACUUAUCCAUCAGUGCUCGAGAAUCGUCCAUGCGGAUUGUCAUCACUCCAAAUUCCCAUGCGGAUUGCCAUCAUAAUCAAUCAACACAGCGGAAACAAGAAUUUUGAAAAUCAGAAUUACGAUGUUUAUGAGAGAUGUAUACUGAUAAAUUACUAUACUUAUCACCAAAUAAGCAAGCAUGAAAAAGUUCUCUCAACCCCAGAUUGAGAAACACGGUUUCAGAAUAAGUAACUAAUCUUGACACCAAUUCCAUUUAACUCAAUCUAAAUGUUAAACAAAAUUCAAGAAAUUGCAAUAAGAUUUCAAAAUACAUACCCUUUUAUGAAUGGUUUCAGGAUCGUAUCAAUCUUAGCAUCAAUCAUGUAUAAAGAUUGCAGUAUUGUAUAUAUUACAUCAGGAGUUUUGUAUGUAUCAAGGAUCAAAAUUCAAUAAACUUGAUAUAAUACAUCAGGAGUUUUGAAUUAUAAACAUACCUUUGGGAACAAAAGAAAAAUAUAUAUUAUCGCAAAUCCAAAUCUUAAACAAAGAUGGUUGUGAACGAGAAGAUCUAGAAGCAAAGCAUGUUUGGAUCAUCACAACUUCAAACCAAGAAGAGAAAAAAAAGUGCAAACCCAGAAAAUUUCGAACAAGGUUAUGAGUUUUGCCAAUAUUCAAUUUAAACAAGGUUAUACGUUUUCUAGGUUUGGAACGUUUAAGUGUUCAUAGCUUUUCCAUCAGAUUCUUGUGUAAAUUUCGAACUCAAUGACAAUAAUCAACUAGGCUCUGAUACCACAUGUAAGAACUCUAACACAGAUCGAUGAUAUGCCAAUUGAAUUACCAAUGUUCUGAAACAAGUCAAGUGACAAAACUUAUGAACAAGAACAAGGAUUGCCGAGAACAUACCUGCAGAAUUUGAACUUGAAGAAGCCAUAACAGCCUCUGUGUUCAAAACCUUCUCCUCUUUUACGAUCACAAUAGCUUUUCUAAUCAAUAGGACUUAGAACAACAUAAGCUAAUAUCGCAAGAGCAGUGGUUUGAACCAUAAAUAUAUAGUGCUCCUUCGUCCAUUCCCUAUCAGAAUUGGACUAGGAUUCAAAGACAUACAAACCAUAAAGAUUCAUGAGACUUUAUAAAGUUCCAACACAAAGUUCUUUUCCAAAACCAAUUGGAACUUCUCUCAAGACUGCAUUCCUUAUCAGAUUUAGACUUCUUUAUAAUAUCAAUUAUCCCAAGACUUAUAAGAAUCAUACUCAUACUCUUACAGAUUAAACUAACUAUUACCGACUUUAACUGACAAAACCUCCACGCAUAUGCUAGCUGGCGAGGGUUUGGCAUGGGCAUCGUUGCACAGUUUUAUUAUCUUAACAAUUCAUAAUUAAUGUCGGAUUCUUGCAUCCGCCAUCCGGCAAUUCGAUCUAAUCAACUUUGCUGAUAUCGAUAAGAUGAAUUAUUGAUAAUUAGUAAUACCCUUAACUUGUUCUUGUUCUUCUAAUUAUACGUGCGUUGUAUAUAUUAAUGUAUGACAUUAGUUUUUCUCCACUGUCAUAGACAACUUUAACACAACGAGGUUAGUGGUCCCUAAUUAUUACCUAAUAAUUUUAAGCAAAAAGAUUAUAUUUUUAGUUUAAUUAACUGUAGUAUGUAAGUCGAAAACUCCUCCUCUAAAAUCCUAAACUCUAAUGGGAUUAACAUCACACUUUGACGGACAUUUUAAUCACCUAACCCUCAAGUGUACUCAAAACCCAAUGUACGUCCCUCUAAAAUCUUAAAAAGAAAUGAUAAUCUCCUUACCUUUUAAUUAAUAGAUCCACCUUAUAAUAAAGUUAAUUUGUAGGUUAUCCUAAAAAGUUGUCUUUAGUUUUCCUUAAACCUAGCGAAGUCCAACUUGAUAUUAAUUGAAUGUAAAUUUACCUGUGAUACUAAUGUCAGUUUGUCAUGCAUAUAUAGGAAUAUAAGGAAAAUUAAUGUUGGAAUAUUUACAACAAGAAUGACAGAUGGGGCUAGUUUCAAUCUCAAUUCUCAACUGUAACAAGCUGAAUUUUUACGCAAUCUCAAUCAUAAACGUUUGAUCGAAACCCUUUGUAAUAAAAAAAAAAAAAGCUGGGUCGAGAGUUCGGACCGGCCUUCAUUGGCCGCAGGCCAAAUGAUGACUCAUUAUCAAAAGCACCGGUGACCUAAACAACACCAUCUCCAACCUAUAUAAUAUCGUUAUAUAUAUAUAUAUAUAUAUAUAUUGACAUAAUGACCGUAAAAAGAUAGAUUAAAGUUAGGCUUUCCUAAAUCCCAGGAUAUGGGGAUGAGAUUCAAAUUUCAAUACCCAAGACAGAGCCAUAGGGACAGGGUUCAGGGGACCAUGUCUUCCGUUUCUCCUUCUCUCUCUCUCUCUCUCUCUCUCUCUCUCUCUCUCACGGUCAUCUCCCUCCCACUUCAAAAGUAAAUCACAAAAGUGAUUCACAUACAGAAUACAGCCAAACUUGAUUGAGUUGGAAUUGCACUAGCUCAUACAAAAGCUAUAUCCUGCAUCUUGCAACAGCUCAUCCUCCUCCUCGUUUUGUGAAAGAUCCAAUCCCCUUAUUAAAGACAUGACUAACUUAUAGACAGUACCAGCACUCUUUGCUAGCUAGCUUCAGUACUACUUCAUACCUUCACAAUGGAAAUGAUAAACACACAUUUGUUUUAGCUUCUCACACACCUAUGUUUAAUCUUGUUUGUUGUUUUCAUUUGAUUUAUUCAAUCCAAUAGCUAGAAUUGAAGAGGGUUGUGUCAUAAGUUAAAAAAAAUGUGUGAAAAUCAUAUCUCCAUAAUUAUGGCUGUUAAUUUUUGGCACCAUUAUUUCAAAAAUUAUGAUGCACUAUUAUUUCAAAAAUUAAGAUCUUUUUGAAAAUUUUGCUUUGGAAAUUUACCCCCACAGCUCCACACGCAUGGUUAUAUGACAUAACGGUUACUUGCCAUGUAUGAUUUUUGUCAUUAAUUGGACAUCAUAAUAAUUUAUUUGACCUUUCAAUUAGCCUUUUUCUUGUUAAUUUGCACCAUAGAUGGAAGGGAAAAUUACAAAACGCACGCAUAUCCGUGGGGGUAUGAAUGAAGAUAAGAAAAUAAAAACGCGGUAAAGAUGGAAUAAACCCAAAAAAACGGGGCAACACUGAAAUAAUCUGAAAAAUGAAAAAAGAGACGUUAGCCCUAUCCCGCCAGGUUUUCCCCGUUUGAGCAAUUAAGGAAGGAAGAUAAUUAAACAGUCCACCAGAGACGCAAAGCAAUAAAUAGUAAAUGCCAAAUUACCAAAUAAGCCAUUCCAUAUCUAUCUAAAAUUGCGCACUCAAAACCCAAAUCAGAAAAAUCAGAGAAUGUUGGUGGUGCCUUGUAAGUUUUUUUGGUAAUUAAGUAAAGCGAUUGCGUGUGUGUGUCACAUCCAGUUGAGAGAUACUGAGAGUUGUGAUGGGUUGCGCCGCCUCAAAGGUAGAAGACCUUCCGGCGGUGGCAUUGUGCCGAGACCGGUGCAAGUACCUGGAGGAAGCUCUCUGCCAGACCCAAGCCCUGGCCGAUUCCCACCUCGCUUACUUAGCCUCUCUCAGGACCCUUGGCCCCGUUCUCCACCGUUUCUUCCAUGACACUCCUGCAGGUACUGGACCGCCGCCGCCACCAGAAUCAGACUCGCACCUCCAAUUCCCUUCCGACUCUGAAUCCGAAUACAAAGAGGACCACACCGAUAAACAGUUGGGAGAAACGCCGACACCAGUUUCUGUGCAUGAUCAAUGUUUCAGGAAAAGGGAGGAGGAGGUCUUCAAAAAUUUAGGCGGCAGACUGACUUCCGAACUCCCUCCUCCACCACCGCCUCCGGUCAGCUCCACUUGGGAUUUUCUUAAUCUAUUUGAUGCCUACGAGAGGGAGAGUUACCUAGCACCCCUUUAUACUUGCACUACUUUGGUUCCUGAAGAAGCUGCUCAUACUUCUGCAUUUGUUGCUGCCGCUGCUGACAAAAUCAAUAACGAGAUCAAUGUUAAACACAAUACUAAAAAUAUUGACGAUGAUCAGGAAAGGGAGAGUAGGUCGCCCGAGAAGGGUAAGACGACUCACAUGGCGACGUCGACAGCAACUCCUCCGUCUGUCUCUGUCUCUCCCACUGUCCCAGAAGCAGCAGAGGCGAUGCGAGAGCUUCAUCUUCUGUUUGACAGGGCGUCUGAGUCCGGUAAUCAAGUUUUAUUGUCGCUGCAGUCUCAUCAUCUCACAAUUUCUCUUGAUCAGGGUAAUUUAUCCAUUUUAAUUUUCUCAAUCAAUUUUUAAUAUUAUUCCAGAUUGUUAGAUAAAGAUAAAUUUAAUACAUAAUUAAUUUGACGAAUUGGCGUUGGAGAAGCAGAGUAUGGAUUUGAUGACCAUGAAGGCUUGGUUAUGAGUUCACAGAACCUUUCUUACACUCUGAAGACGCUCUUCCUGUGGGAAAAGAAACUUUACCAUGAAGUCAAGGUAUAUAUAUGCUUCUUUUCCUUCAUUAGCUUUGCUGAUUAAUCACUUUUUAAAGCAUAAUCUUGACUAUUUAAUCAUGCUAUAUAUAUAUAAUUAGGCUGAGGAAAGAUUGCGCGUUACGCACGAGAAGAAGAGUAGAAUGCUGAAACAUUUGGAACAUAGCAAGGGUACUACUACUAGUGCUGCUCAGUCUCCCAAACUCAACUCCCUUCGCAGUGCAGUCCGCGAUCUUUUAACAAAAAUGAAAAUUGCAAUUCAGAUUGUUGACAGAAUAUCAAUUACCAUCAAUAAGUUGAGGGACGAGGAGCUAUGGCCGCAGAUUAUUGAAUUCAUCAACAGGUAUCUCUACUCUAUCGUCUAUCCCAUCACCACUGAAGAAUGAUUGAUUCUACGAAAUGUAAAAGUGAUUAGUGGACUGGUUGAUGUGCUUGUAGGUUACUCAACAUGUGGAAAGCUAUGGUAGAAUGUCACAAGAGUCAGUACCAAGCAAUGGUGGAAGCCAAGGGUUUAGAUGGCGUCGCAAUAUCCAAUGCAAAAUUGAGCAGCGCGCAUAAGGCUGAAACUGCAAUUCAACUCAAGUUAGAGCUUCAAAACUGGAAUGUGUGCUUCUCCAAAUGGAUUGUCGCCCAAAAGGGGUAUGUAAAAGCAUUAAAUGGAUGGCUUCUGAGAUGUCUUCUACACGAACCGAAUGUGGGCGAUCAAGAAUUAACAGCGGACGAGGGUAUUGGAGCACCGCCUGUUUUUGUGAUAUGUAAUGAGUGGUCACAAGCUAUGGAUAGACUCUCAGAGAAGGAAGUUGUUGAAGCCAUCAGGGGAUUCUGGACUAGUAUACAUACGCUUUUAAUGGAAGACAACAAUAAUAAUGUAGAAAUGGUGCAGCAAAGGAUGGUAGCUGAAAACAAAGAUAUAGCCAGGAAAGUAAAGUUUUUGGAGGAAGAGGAGGGGAAGGAGCAGAAGAUAUUGCAUAAGCUGAUACGCGGUAGAGGAGGGAAAAAGAACGUUGGUUCGAGUAGCUUGCGAGCAGGAGAAGACGAGUCACAGAGAGAGAGAGUGCAGCAACAGAGUAGUAGUGAUCUAGUGUGGGAUCUGAAGCAGACAUUGAUGGCGAUGGAGAAAUUCACUGCAAACUCAUUGCAAGCAUACAAUGAGCUUCAUGCACACAUUGAACUAGAGCAAGUCAGCUGCAGGCAAUCUGGAAUAUCUGGAUGAUGAAUUAAUGACAACCUUGGCUUAAUUCUUCUGAUACCAAAUGAUUAGUUUGUUGUUUUGUUGCCAUGGGUGCUUAAGGUUUUGCUCGUCAAAUUAGCAAUAAGAUUAGACACCUGGAAGUUAUAUAAAUUGGCCUUGCCUUAUUAUGCAAUUAUAUAUGUUGAUCACCUGUUACAAGAAUUUUGGAGAUGCAAAUAUUGCUUAUUAUAAGGCAAAACAAAUGGGUUUAUCCAUUAGUAAUUCCAUGCUUCCUCUGACUAGUGACAACCUUUUGGGAGGGUCAUCCCAACUCCGGUGCAAGUAGUCGGACAAAUUUACAUAUACAUGCACAUAAGGUGUAUGAAGCUCAGCUCUUAAUUUGGAGUACAAACUUGCACAUGCAAAUAACAACAUAUCCGACCUACAACAAUUUUCGCAACAAUAAAUUUGUAAACGGGUGCGUGAGAAUUCAGACUUGAGAUUUAUUUCAAAAACGGACGGUGAUGAUGGUGAUGUAAUGCAUAUUUUAAUACUAUAGGAGCUGAUUUUUGUAUACUUGUUCUUCGCUUUAUGCACACACUCUUCAUUUACACAUAUCUUUUGCCUUAAUGUAUAUAAUUUUGUGAAUUAGCCAAUCCAUAUUUUGAUACAAAAUGUGUUAGGGUUCGUUUGGAUGUGCUUUUAAAAUGACUGAAAGCGCUUUUAGAGAAUAUUUUUUGGUUCCAAAAUCACUUAAAGUGCUUUCUUUAAGAAGCACUAGUUAUGUGCUUUUUUCAUGAAGUACUUUUAAGUGCUCUUCCAGAAUAUACUUGCAUUUUACUAAGAAUUAGUUCCAAAAGCAUUUUCAACAUAAGCGCUUUCAGUCAUUUUAAAAACACAUCCAAACAAUCUCUUAGACGUUCCCCAUUUCCCCCAAUAGGUAAGUCGCAAAACAAAACUUUGGUGAUGAUUAGAUUUCUUAUUUAAAUAAUUAAAAAUAAUCUAAAUAGAUAAUCUCUUUUUUAACAUUUUUUUAUAUUUAACAUAAAAUAAUUAUGGAUGAAACACUGCUUUUAGCCUAAAUCUAGCGAACUGUUAAAUGGAGGCAGAUUCUCUGUCUUUCCACUUUUCGUGCCCUUCCUUAUCUUUUUGUUUGUGUGAUCACAUUUAAGUCACGUCAAUAUUUUAUAUUACUAUUUUUUUUAUCUUAUUAUUUCUAUAAAAAAAAUAAUAUAAAAUAUUGAUAUGGUUUAACCGUGAUCACACAAAAUAGAAGGGCAUCAGAAGUGAAAGGGUUCUACCUCCCUAUUAAAUAUCGUGUGUGUAUAAAAGAAAAUUAGAAAAAGGAAAAAGGCAGAGAUUGGUCUGCUGGAUGCGAAGCGAUAAUUACCAAAUGUACCGUUUGGUACGCAUACGGAACGGGACAGAACAAGAUGGGACGGAACAGGACGGAACGGAUAAUGUAAAUAUUAAAAAAGAUAUGGAGAAAUUUUGUCAUAAAAUAUUAUAAAUUUAUGUUCCACGGAUGUGGAACGGGUCGUUCUAGGGGAAGAGGUGGAACGAAAAAUCAGUUUUUAGGCACACCAAACGUGAGACGGAACGGCUCGUCUCGUUCCGUACCGUCUCAUCCCACGUACCAAAUGGUACCAAAAUGCCUUUGAUGAUAUGGAAAGGACAAUUCAACUGUAGGUGGAAACAGGGAGAGAGAGGUUUUACCAGUGCAGACAGAGAGGGAGAGAAGGCAGGCAGGCAAGCAAAUUAGCAAUGCCAUUGCCAUUGCCAAGGAAAAGAAAGCGGCACUGAGUCAACUCGGCCGAGUUGUGGGGUGCUGCGAGUCGUCUUUUAUACAUGCACGUCAACACCACUCCAGCACCACCGCUUGGACACCUUCAGCUCCACCGCCACCACCAACCGCACUCCUCAACCGUCCAACGGUCGAGCCGAUGCAGCCGGAGCCGGAGCAGUGAUAUGAUAUGAUUCGUGGAAAAACAGAAUCUCCUUAGAAUUGAUGUUUGUGUUGAUGCAGGCUAUUGAUAUGAUUCGUGGAAAAACACUCUUCUCUUAAUGGAUUCACAUCUGGAGGGAAAAUUUUCAACUGAAGAAGCAACUGUGGUCUUUGAUCUUGCCUCACGAUGUUUGCAAUAUGAACCCAGGGAGCGACCAAAUAUCAAGGACCUUGUUGUAACAGUUGCUCCGUUGCAAAAUAAACCUGAUGCAAGUCUUCUUGCCUUUUCCCCACAUGAAUGCAAUGAUUUGUUUUCUCCUUUACAUGCAGGCAGUUGCUCUUGCCAAGCUAGACAUGCACAAGGAUGCAGCCGACAUGCUGAAUGAGGCUGCUGGCCUCGAAGAAAAAAAGACGUCGCAGAGGGAGAUGAUAGGAGAGAAGAGGAUCCUGAAAUGCUCUGUAAUUUUUUUUUUGUUGCAUUGAAGUUGCUCCAGCUGUUGUAACUUGUAACAGAAGUGUAGGGUUAUCAAGUAUAAUGGGGUAGGAGAAAGUUGUAUCAGUCCAGACGUGUGCAAUAUGUAGGUAGAGGGAGAUGCUUGUAUCUUGUGUAUCAACUACCGCGCCAUUCUUUUCCUCUAAUUUUUCGUUGGAUAACUAAUUGGUUCGUAACGUGUACUUGUGUAUAUGAAACUUGUGAUGCAUCAUUUUUAUGAUGUCACCGAGGGAUAGUUAAUACAUGAAUUUGCUCGAGUCUAGCGUCUAUCCAACUAUCCAACGUAUAGCUCGGCCUUUCCAUCAAUGAAGAGGCUCAUGAAUUCUUCACCAUCAACAGUUUCCUUCUCUAUGAGGAGCUGGGCAAGCUUGUGGAGGAUAUCAAUGUGAGUUGUGAUGAUCUGUGUGGCCCUCGAAUAAGCUGUCUCUACCAAUUCCCUAACCUCUCCAUCCACAAUAUCAGCGGUUGCCAUGGAGUAGUCCUUUUGGGACGACAUCUGCAAAUUCAAACAUACAUUUUCCAUCACUUCUCUUGCAUCCCAUAUGCAUAUGAUGAAACAGUGAAUAAACUACGGUAAGUAAUUGAUUAUAGUACCUGUUGCCCUAAGAAGGGAUUGCCACCAGAGGCACCCACCGCAAUUUGUCCAAUCUUUUUGCUGAACCCAAAUCUCUCAACCAUCUGCCUUGCCACCCUUGAAACUUGCAUGAAGUCGCUUGAUGCCCCUGUUGUCACAUUCUCCUGACCAAAGAUAACUUCUUCCGCAACCCUGCAACAAAAUGGAGACCGGGUUCAGAACACAAGUUCCCACACAAUCUUCAACACAGCUCAAAUGCAAAAGGGAAGAAUGAAUAGACUGUUUGAAAGCAGUUUAAAACGAAGAGUUCGAAUAACUGACCUUCCACCGAGGGCAACAGCCAUUUGAUUCUCCAGGUAGCUUCUACUGUACAGUCCAGACUCAAGUCUCUCUUCACUUGGAGCGAAGAAGGUGAGACCGCCAGCUUGGCCACGAGGGAUGAUGGAUAUCUUAGCAACAGGAUCAUAUUCCGGCAUCAAUGCACCAACAAGAGCAUGCCCCGCCUCUGUACAAGUCACGUAAUAGAUGAAUAAACCAUGGUUAACAUCGGAUGAUAGCAAAAUCACAAGUUAACAUCGGAUAUGAGGGGAGAACUGGUCUUGUUCUAUGUAUAUACCAUGGUAGGCGACUAAUUUCUUCUUCUCUUCAGAGACAACAGCAUUUUUCUUCUCUGGUCCAGCAAUGAUCCGCUCCAGAGCAUCGGCGAUCUCAUCUUUACUUAUUUCUUUGAGGUCACGUCUGGCUGCGAGAAUGGCAGCCUCGUUCAUCAGGUUCUGCAGAUCGGCGCCCGUGAAACCAGGUGUUCUCCUCGCAAUUUUGUCAAAGUCCACAUCCUUAGCAAGCGCCUUCCCUCUAGAGUGCACCUGCCAAUAAAAAAUGCUUCAGCUGAGACUUGAGAGAAUGUGGAAUGUACAAUUCUAGCAAAACAUCUUCAAACCACACUUAAACUCGAACAAACGUGCAAACUAAAACGGUUUACAAGCAUGCAUAAAAUGCAAUUUACAGAAAAUAAUUGCUUAAGCUACUAGCCUAGUACUCAUACCAGGCAUUAGUUACUCACCUGCAGUAUUUUAACUCUGCCAGCAACAUCAGGCCUGUCGACGGUCACCUGUCGGUCAAACCUUCCGGGCCUCAACAACGCCGAGUCAAGAACAUCCGGCCUGUUGGUUGCCGCCAAAACUAUCACACCGGAAUUACCAGAAAACCCAUCCAUCUCCGUCAGCAGCUGAUUAAUAGUCUGCUCCCUCUCAUCAUUCCCGCCGCCCAUCCCCGCGCCUCUCUGCCUCCCCACCGCAUCUAUCUCAUCAAUGAACACAAUGCACGGCGCUUUCGACUUGGCCUUCUCGACGCACUCUCGACGCCCCCACUCCCACAAACAACUCCACGAACUCGGAAGCCGCGCACGAGAAAAACGGCGUCCCAGCCUCUCCGGCCACGGCGCGAGCCAGAAGGGUCUUGCCGGUACCAGGUGGACCCACCAAAAGACAUCCUUUUGGGAUUUUGGCACCGAGGGCGGUGUACUUGUCUGGGUUCUUCAAGAAAUCCACCACCUCCUGCAGCUCCAAUUUUGCUUGGUCAGCUCCAGCUACAUCGGAGAAAGUCACCCCCGUCUCUGGAACUUCUUGGAAUUUGGACUUGGACCUUCCGAAAUCCAUGGGGCCGCCCAGCCCGCCCGGCCCUCCUGGGCCUCCUCCAGCUCGCCGAAAAAGAAGGAACAAUCCGGCAAAGGCCAAGAUUGGGAACCAAAUUGCCGAUGAAAUUGAAUAGGCCACCUCCCGAAUCGCCUUCGGAGACGGAAAUAUCGACGCCGUUCAUGGCCAAAAUGUCGAUGAGGUCAGGGUCGUUGGGGACAACGACGGAGGCGCGGCGCCCAUCGACGGCAGUGAGCUGAAGGGCAGAACCGUCUUUGACGAACCUGACUCUCUCGACCUUGCCCUUCUUGACGGCGUUGAGGAACUCGCUGUAGCGCCAUUGGCUGCCUUCGGGGAGGUCAGUGGCGACCUGGGAUUGGGGCUUAGGGGCGUUGAGGAGGAGGUUUUGGGAGAAAGGAGAGGCGGCGUUGGGUUUGGAAGGCUGGGCUUGGAGCACAGGUGGCGGAGUGGGAGUGGGCGUGUUGUCUAUGGCUAGGCCGGGUUGUGGGGUGAGAGAAGAGAAGAGCAAGGCGGCUAAAGUGGCUUGGGAAGUUGCGGAUUUGAAUGGCUGUGAAUCGGGUUCAGAGUUGAAGAUGUUUUUGGUGGCGAAAAGCUUUCGCUGGGAGAAGAAGGGCAGGGGAAUUGGGAGGGAUGAUUUGGAUUUAGAGGUGGUUUUAGGGGUGGGAGGAUAGUGGAGGAUUGUGGUGGUUCCGAAGAAGUUGGAAGAGAGCAAGGGGUUGGUGGCGGAAGCCAUGGCUUGGGCUGGGUUGGGUUGGCUGGGGUUCGUUUUUGUGUCUCUCCCUCUUUCUCCUCCUCUCCCUCUUGUUUUCCGUUAUCUGUUGGAUAAAAAUUCAGCUAUUUCUUUCGAAAUUAAGAAGUUUUAUUUUUGUUUAUUUUUCUUCAGAUACUAGAUUAGCGGGAAAAUGAAAAGUUGAUUCAAUUUUAUGGGGAAAAUAAAUAAAUAAAUAAAGAGUCGAAAAUACGAAUCGUGGCGGGCUGAGAACUAUGAAUUGUUUAUAUUUUGUUUGGGUGUUUUUUCUCUAGAAAUUUUUACUGGAAGACCCGUUUUUCACUUGGAUUUUUGAUUGAACAAGUUUUUCGAUUCUUCUAUCUCUGCUUCAAAGUUUCGAAGUUUCAAAGUUUCAAAGAAACGACACCAUAAAAUGAUAAAGCAUUGGAAUUGGAAUGUUGUUGCUUGGGUUGCGCCCACGUGUUCGACAUGCCAUCCAUCCAUGCAUCCAUUCAUUCAUUAUUUGUCGUUUUUUUGUUAAUUUUCUCAUUGAUUUGGAAGAGUAUAUAUAUGGGCGCGGAUUCAGGAGCCCAUCCCAUCCCUUUCCCUUUUCUUUGUUAAAAGAUAUCAUCACUAAUUGUAUAUGGGUGAGGAUUUAGGAGUAGGAGAUGAGGCUUUAAGUUUGUUUUGAAUUUGAUAUUAAGGUGAGGUUAGGUUUCCAUUGGCGUGCUUAUGGGCUUUUUGGACGACCAUAACCAUAUACCAUAUAUCAUUAUCACAAUGUACAUGACGUAAGCAUGCACAUUAUAUUGUAUAUGAAGUUAUCGUGUAUUCAUCUGUGCAUUACGUGAUUAAUGUCAUUGGCAGUUCAUUCUUAUAUACGAGUGUCGUAUGCAGCUCCAUCAUGCACACAUCUGUAUUAUUGUGGUACAGAUGCACGAUCGAAUUGGAGGAGCUGCAUGUGUGUAUCUGAAUAUCCGUGAAGUUUCACUUGAACUUCUUAGAAGCUCUCUUGUUUUAACUUGCCCAACUGUGGAAUGAUUUGGUCUCACGUUCAAACAUAUCUACACAUAAAUAUAUCAGUAGUUGUGUUGAGUACUAUGUCGUAUAUGGAGACACGAAAAAGCAUAUGCACACUUGUAAUAUAUAAACAACUAGUGAUGAUAUCAUUUAAGCCAGUCUUAAGAACAUUAAGAAAUAUAUAUUUGUUUAAUUAAUUGAUUUAAUUAAGCCCAUUAGUGCCUAAUAUCUUUGUGUAUUAAUAUUCAUGUCUGCUUUCUCCCAAUCAGAACCAGCCUGGCACCCUCUUCUCGUCCUCCUGCAUGUAUCGUGUAUCAUGUAUCCUGUAUGUAUGGUAUGAUCAGCCUUAUCGGUGGUCUAAUCACCAAUGACAAUAUCUAUCUUUAACAUAUUUGUUGCCUUACCUACCUGUAACAUAUCCUCACUUUGUAUUGAUUAAUGUUAAUCUAUAUCUGAAAUGGAAUAUGCAUGGAAGGAAGCUUCGUCCUGUCAAAUUACUCCUACCUAUUGCUCUGCUCUUGUUGUUCUUGCUCUCCCUUAAUCAAAUAGAGCCUUAGCUGUCUGCGUAUGUUGCCAAUUAAACUAAACAAUUCCACAAGUCCGUACGUACUGAUCGUCAAAACGAUUCUUCCUGCUAUACUUCCUCAAGUUUUUUAUCAAAUCCAAAUAUUCAGGCUAAUGAAAGUCCCCAGCUAUAUAUACAAGACCGUAUCACCAAGUUUGCAUAUAUCUGUCUACCUAUAUCUCCACUCCACAAACUCUUCAACAAUUGACAUACCCUUGAUCUGGCCGCUCAUAUUUGUCCAUCAACUCAUUCAAUUACAUAUAAAAUCCAAUUAAUUUCAGAAGGAAUUAAUGGCCAUGGCAUGCCCAAAUUUUGAAGCUCUCAGAGACCUACACAACUCUGCCAAUAACCUUCUCCACUCCCCGGUGAUCCAACAAGCUCUCAUCAACGACAUCGAACAGGAGAAAUGGGUUCAUCAAGUGUCAGAAGCGUCUCUAAGAAUGCUGGAUGUGUGCGGCAUUUCCAAAGACGUUCUUUUGGUCGUGAAAGAACAUCUCCAAGACCUUCAAUCCAUGUUGCGCCGAGGAAGCAGCAGCGGAGAAGCGGACAAAAGUAACAGGAUUGCAGCCUACAACUGCUACAGGAAGAAGCUAAAGAAGGAGACGCUCAAGUGCUUGAAAUCUCUCAAAGGAAUAAGGAACAAGUCCAAUACUAAUUCUUCACAAGUAUAUACGGACCACAACCUUAUGGUAGUUGUAGACGUGCUCAGUCAAGUGAGGGCGACUUCCGUUUCAAUUGUGGAGACUCUUUUGUCCCUGAUUUCCGUACCAUGGCUGGAGCAGAAAUCAUCGGCUUCCUUCCAGUUCAUGUCCAAGUUUAUGCGUGUGAGUGGCCGCCAACGAGUGUACGAUGCAUGCGAUGCGACGGCGCUUCAAAGUGCGAACAAAAGAUUGGACGCUGUCGAGAUUGCCAUUCAAGACCUUGAAGCUGAGUUAGACUGCAUGUUUAGACGUUUGAUUGACACCAGAGUUGCCCUUCUCAAUAUACUUAACAAUUAACUAGCUCAAUUAACCCAUUCAUUAAUUCAGUUGAUCAUCUGUUGGAACUUAAUACCCUCCUCGGCAAUUGCAAACCAAGAUGUCACGAUUCAUUCAUUUUUUGUCAGGCUCCCCUACCGGGAUCCAGUAACUGUGGUGUUACCAGUUCUUUGAUUAUUUACAAUAAACUCUCUUUUCCCGCUUCAAAGAUCCAAUAUGUAGUGUAAUUGUAGUUCUACAUUUCAUGCAACUUAUUUACGUACAAGUAUAUGAUUUAUUUUUCCACCUCCAGGGGGAUUUCAAGAUGAGUUGCAGAAAAAUUAAAACAAUUAAAGCGCAAGAAAAAUGGAACGAAAAAGGGAAGUAGUUUCAACUUCACAAGGUGUGUAAAAAAUACAAGCAUCAUAAAUAUAACAUUUUGAAACGGAGUUUGAUGUCAUCAACAUCAUUCAUAUCACAAUAUUUUUCUUCACAAUCACUUUAUUAAACCGAAAUCAAGACAGAUGCUCCACAUGACACUUACACUAGUAUCCCGCCUAAUAAGCCCUUUAUGAUAUCAACUCUUGGCUCUUCCACAGGAAACCUGCAACAAUACAAUAAAGCCUCGUUUCAAUUAUUUCUUUCUACCGACAUUUCCUUCUAUGCGAAAAAUUAGUUACUGAAACUAUAAAGUCUGUUUGAGAACACCCAAAAAAAAUUGAGAGCCUUAAAUGAAAGCAAACAAAGAUAACAGGCACUGGUCCACGAGCUCAUGGACUUACUCAAUUACUGGCCCCUUUCUUCAAAUGAAAACCAUGGAGGAAGCAGAGUUUCAACAAGCAUAAAUCAAACCAAGCCAAACUUGGCAUCAUGAUCCAUGUGUUUGCAAUUUACUUCAUUCAAACACAUAUUAACUACUAAGUCUAGGCCAUAAUUCUAAAAUGAAAGGCAUAUAAACAUCGAUCAAUAGUGUGUAAGCAUGGUUACAACUGAUCAGACCCAGUCGGUAGCCAGAGCUCUACUCUAAAUAGGAGUUCAUAAGUUCAAACCCAACUCCCCGAACAUCACAACUGAUCAAAGAAUGAAAAGUAUCACAUAAAGCAAACAAAGUACAGUGGAUCAUAUGAGUAUAUAUGAUAACUUAGCCAAGUAUCUUUAGCUGAGACAAAGAAGGAUAAACGGUACCUAAUGAUGAUCCUCGUGGCCCUCCCAGGGGUGUCUCCAACCCUAAAAAACAUAUUAAGAAAGUGAGUAACUUGAGUAUAUCAAAUUGCAAAGAAAAGUGAAACAAGAGAAGCACAUACCAAAACUACAGGACCAUCCUUCUUGGCCCUGUACAGUACCCAAAACCUGAUGCAUCAAAAUUUUGAGGAAAAAAACAGUAAGCUUCACGGAAAUGCACCAAGGAAAAAAAAAUACACAAAGCAAUAUUUCAAUAGAAAAAUAAGUAAAAGUUAGUAGUAAACUUAGAAAGUGAAUAAUACAUUCAAUCUGCAAUAUAUCAAUGCAGGGACUGAGGUUUACACCAAUAGUAAACCUCUCCAAGGUUCAAACUUGAACUUUAUCCCAAAUUGCAUGAUUCCAACGAUAUACAUUCAGUUACACCAUUGUCCUCUAUGCUCAAGAGUUAACGCCAAGCACCAAGGCAACCUUAAACCGGUCAGAAGCUUACGGAUUGAAAGAAAGAAAAAAAAACGAAGUAAUGUGUGAUACUAUAGCUUUAUAUACGCCAGUCAACAACCAAUGUUGGCCAUAAUAGGAAAUCCCAAAAUUCAAUCUCGAGCAAGACGAAUUUGUUGAUAUUUCAGCUCCAUUAUAUUAAACAGCCACAAUCCCCAACUCGAAUCCCAACAUUAAAGUGCAUUCUAAUUUCUUCCUGUUAGCAUUUUCAUGUCUAAGUUCCUAACCAAUCGAUCCCCACUCGUAUUUGAAAGAACCCCAACAUUCAAGUGAAUGAAAUGCAGUUUCUACCUGUUAGCAUUUUCAGGUCUAAGUUCCUAACAAUCGGUGCCUUAACAUGAAAUUCCGAAAACAUUAGAAAGUGUACCCAAAAAAAAGAUUAAAACAAAAAGGCACGCAGAUCCAACAUGGCAGAAAUUUGACCAACGCUAAUGUACGGAUGAAAUAGGCAGAGUAGACGGAGUUUACCACAUCACAGCACACAUGCCUUUGCCGGUGAGGGUGUGCCACCGCUUUGGCUGAUGCACCGUGAUUCCCUUAUACGUUAUGCCCUCGCCGUGUCCUCCUCCCAUCUUCGCCGGUCACUCUCUCUUUCUCUUUCUCUUUCUCUUUCUCUUUCUGAGCUAGCCCUAGACUCCAAAAUGAGAUCUCCCUCAAUUAAGAAAUGCUCCAGACCCGAUGACAACUCUACCCACUUUUGCUUCUCAUGAUGACAAGGCUACUUCCCAUUGUGGGCUUCGCUUGACUAGUUCUUCUGCAAGCCCAACUUAGAUAAAAUCCUAGUUUUUGAAACAGUAUUAUUAAGUGAAUGCAAUUGAAACAGUAUUGUAAUAAAAUAAAGCCGUUUUGAGGAUUUCUAUGAAAUGAAGUAUGGAUCGGAACUACUACGAAGAAAACCCAGGACAGGCCCAUAGGAAAACCAAAGUUUUAUUUUGCUUGCAUCUUUUAAAGAGUUUAUUUCUUUUAUCAAAUUAAAUUUAUUUUUAGGGAUUUUUAUCAUACUUUUCAAAUAUACUUGAUGGCGCCCUUUUUUUUUUUUUUUUAAAGAGAAGUACAAUAAUUCAUUGAAAGCAAAUUCAGAAUACAAGCAAACUGAGAAUAGAGUGCAUAUUGGGUCUCGAUAAAACCUUGUCGGAAAUUUCACUCCGGUAUAAAGGAAAAAUAGUGUCACGCACAACCUAAAGGACCUAUUCUCAAAUGUCAAUACAUAAACAAAUUCCGAACUAUCUUGGAACAAAAUAUGCAACUCAGGGGGUCUUCAACCAACUAAACUGAUUGGUUACAAAGCUUUCAACCAUUUCGUGCAGUGAGCACCAACCGUGCGGCAAAGCUUUCGACCAUUUCUUCCAUAGUCCUUUCCACACGAUGCAACUCAGUCUAAACCACCGGCAAAGAAUGUCUCUAACAAAUUGGAUUAGUUGGACCAACAUCCAUAUAGUAUCAGUAGGAGACAUAUGUCCCCAUAACUACGAACAUGGAAUCAAGGUAACUCGGUGUCAUCGUUGUAGACGAAGCAGUCACUUCUCCUAGUGAAACCUAAGAAGACCUAGGAACCCCAGAGAGCAAUUUUAUAAGAAGACCAGGACUAAAUUAAAAUAAUUAAAAUAAUGAAAAUAAACUAAAAUAAUUAAAACCAAUCCAUUGACCCAUCACCACCUGCAACUAGUGCAAGUCUGCUGCACCCAAGAGCCAAGGCCGCCAGGGGAAGGCGAAGCCACCACUAAACAGUUGAGAAGGACCACAUAACACAGAAAAUCAAGCCAUAAGGGGGAUCUGACUCCCUAACAACAAAAAAUCUUUGAUACAAGUGAGAAUUUAAGAUAAGACACACAAUGACUAUCUCAAAAGUCAAAAUGUCAUAAGAGCACACAAUAUAGUAUGAUAAUAUGAAAUUCAAUGAAUUAAUCAAUGAUAUGAGUGACCACAUACAUUUCAUCACCCAUAACUAAGGUGACAAAUGAAUCCAUUAGAUUGUUAAUAAAUGUGAUAUUGGUAGUGGUGGUGAUGAUAGUGUAAAGUAAAGUCAAAUUAAAUGGUUUUUAAUGGGUACCAUUGACAACUCAAUAGAUUGAUUUGUCACCUCUACCCAUAACAACGGAUAAUAUAAAAAGAAAGUGGAAGAGACUUUUUAGAAAGUACUCACACAACGAUUAACCCAAGAGUUUAUUUAUUUUUGUAUUAUAUUAACAUUUAAUGUGUAAUUUAUGUUAUUCUUUUUAAUAUUGAUAUGAAAUCGUUAUUGACAUUCUAAAAAUCUCAUUUCACUCAAAACUUUGUUUAAUUAUAAGAAACAUACACGCGAAUAGUGUAAAAUGAGGUUUUUAGGGGACGUUUGUUUGUCCUCACUAAACUUCAUUGGAUUGGACUAGCUUAGCCGGGAUUGCUAGCUAGUGUUUUGUGCGAACAAGGAUUAUCAUUAAUGAGACUAAGCCGGACUUGCACCGACUAAGUCUUUCGUUAGGUAGUCAUAGUGAGGACCCCCAAUAUGUAUGAGAUUGCUAGUCCCGUCCCAAACCUGCUUCGUUUGCCUAUUGCAUUGUCUACACGUUGCGUCAUCUACAAGAGUUCCUAUGCAACACCGUUUGCCCACUGCUCAUAUCUGAAACAAAGCCCCACCAGCUGCCUAAACCUCAAAAUCCAACUAUCAAAAUUAUUAUAAAAAGAAAAGAAAAGAAAAGAAAAGAAAAAGCGCAAAACAAUAACAACAACAAAAUCCAACCCUAAAAUUCAAAAUCCACCCACUGCCAGAAAAUUUCGAGAUGGCUUUGC
rnacentral:lncRNA from 1 species